UGGGAAUUUUGGACAAUGGGCGAAAGCCUGAUCCAGCAAUGCCGCGUGUGUGAAGAAGGCCUUCGGGUUGUAAAGCACUUUUGUCCGGAAAGAAAUCCUUGGCUCUAAUACAGUCGGGGGAUACGGUACCGGAAGAAUAAGCACCGGCUAACUACGUGCCAGCAGCCGCGGUAAUACGUAGGGUGCAAGCGUUAAUCGGAAUUACUGGGCGUAAAGCGUGCGCAGGCGGUUUUGCUAAGACCGAUGUGAAAUCCCCGGGCUAACCUGGGAACUGCAUUGGUGACUGGCAGGCUAGAGUAUGGCAGAGGGGGGUAGAAUUCCACGUGUAGCAGUGAAAAUGCGUAGAGAUGUGGAGGAAUACCGAUGGCGAAGGCAGCCCCCCUGGGGCCAAAUACUGACGCUCAUGCACGAAAAGCGUGGGGGAGCAAAACAGGAUUAG
rnacentral:rRNA from 1 species